rnacentral:rRNA from 1 species
UCGCGACGUAGUUGACUCCGUGGCUCAGACACGCUGGCGGCGUGCCUAACACAUGCAAGUCGAACGGGGUAAAUUGCUUCGGUAAUUUACUUAGUGGCGAACGGGUGAGUAACGCGUGAAGAACCUGCCUUUCAGAGGGGGACAACAGUUGGAAACGACUGCUAAUACCGCAUAACACAUCGAGGGGGCAUCCCCUUGAUGUCAAAGAUUUAUCGCUGAAAGAUGGGCUCGCGUCUGAUUAGAUAGUUGGUGAGGUAACGGCUCACCAAGUCGACGAUCAGUAGCCGGACUGAGAGGUUGAACGGCCACAUUGGGACUGAGAUACGGCCCAGACUCCUACGGGAGGCAGCAGUGGGGAAUAUUGGGCAAUGGGGGCAACCCUGACCCAGCAACGCCGCGUGAAGGAAGAAGGCUUUCGGGUUGUAAACUUCUUUUAGCAGGGACGAAGGACGUGACGGUACCUGCAGAAAAAGCAACGGCUAACUACGUG